rnacentral:rRNA from 1 species
UACGGAGGAUCCAAGCGUUAUCCGGAUUUAUUGGGUUUAAAGGGAGCGUAGGUUGACAUAUAAGUCAGCUGUGAAAGUUUACGGCUCAACCGUGAAAUUGCAGUUGAUACUGUAUGUCUUGAGUGUACAAGAGGUGGGCGGAAUUCGUGGUGUAGCGGUGAAAUGCUUAGAUAUCACGAAGAACUCCAAUUGCGAAGGCAGCUCACUAAACUGACACUGACGCUGAAGCACGAAAGCGUGGGUAUCAAACAGG